rnacentral:rRNA from 1 species
GACGAACGCUGGCGGCGUGCUUAACACAUGCAAGUCGAACGGAAAGGCCCUGCUCUUGUUGGUUGCUCGAGUGGCGAACAGGUGUGUAACACGUGAGUAACCUCUCCUUGACUUUCGGAUAACUUUACGAAACUCGGGCUAAUAUCGGAUAGAAUCUCCUGCACCAUGGUGUGGGUUGGAAAGUUUCGGCGGUUGGGGAUGGACUCGCGGCUUACCAGCUUGUUGGGGGGGUAGUGGCUUACCAAGGCUUCGACGGGUAGCCGGCAUGGGAGGGUUGCCGGCGACAAUGGGCCUGCGGGACGGCGCAGAAUGGUACGGGAGGCAGCGGUGGGAAAUAUUGCACAGUGGGCGGAAGCGUGAUGCAGCAGUGCCGCGUGCGGGAUGCCCGGCUUCGGGUUGUAAACAGAUUUCGCCUGUAACGAAGAGUGAGUGACGGUAAUGGGUCAAAAAGCAACGGCUAACUACGUG